GUGGGGAAUAUUGGACAAUGGGGGAAACCCUGAUCCAGCAAUGCCGCGUGGGUGAUGAAGGCCUUCGGGUUGUAAAGCCCUUUUGGCGGGGACGAUAAUGACGGUACCCGCAGAAUAAGCUCCGGCUAACUUCGUGCCAGCAGCCGCGGUAAUACGAAGGGGGCUAGCGUUGUUCGGAAUUACUGGGCGUAAAGCGCGCGCAGGCGGUUUCUCAAGUCAGUGGUGAAAGCCCCGGGCUCAACCUGGGAAUGGCGGUUGAAACUAGUCGACUCGAAUCUGGCAGAGGGGGGUGGAAUUCCCGGUGUAGCGGUGAAAUGUGUAGAGAUCGGGAGGAACACCGGUGGCGAAGGCGGGUCUCUGGGCAACUCCUGACGCUGAGGCGCGAAAGCGUGGGGAGCAAACGGGAUUAGAUACCCCGGUAGUCCUGGCCCUAAACGAUGAAUGCUUGGUGUGGCGGGUAUCGAUCCCUGCCGUGCCGCAGCUAACGCAUUAAGUCGUCCGCCUGGGGAGUACGGCCGCAAGGUUGAAACUUAAAGGAAUUGACG
rnacentral:rRNA from 1 species